rnacentral:rRNA from 1 species
CGCAGCGCGGUAUACGGAGAGGGCUAGCGUUAUUCGGAAUUAUUGGGCGUAAAGAGCGCGUAGGCUGGUUAGUAAGUUAAAAGUGAAAUCCCAAGGCUUAACUUUGGAAUUGCUUUUAAAACUGCUAAUCUAGAGAUUGAAAGAGGAUAGAGGAAUUCCUAGUGUAGAGGUGAAAUUCGUAAAUAUUAGGAGGAACACCAGUGGCGAAGGCGUCUAUCUGGUUCAAAUCUGACGCUGAGGCGCGAAGGCGUGGGGAGCAAACAGGAUUAGAUACCCUGGUAGUCCACGCUGUAAACGAUUGGAGUGCUAA